AUCUCACAGGAAAUGAUCCUGGAGCAUCAGGAGUGAAGCAGCUCAGUGAUUUACUACAGGAUCCAAACUCUCAACUCAAGACACUGAGGUUUGUGGGUCCUGCUGCAGAUGAAGGCUGUCAGUAUGUGACUGGAAUUGUGGGUAAAAACCCGUUACUCCUGAGAGAGCUGAAUCUGAGUGGACGUGAACUAGGAGACACACGAGUGAAUCAGAUCGCUGCUCUACUGCAGGAUAAACACUGUACACUCAACACACUGAUUCUGAAGAACAACUGCAUCACAGAAGGAGCU